ACAAAACCCAAAUUAUUUGCGAAACUCCAGGACAGGCAUCUUUGUGCUGAGAAAAACAGACAUUAUCAAAAGUCAGUAUGGACACGACAUCCACAGGGACAAAGACAAGGAAGUCACCUUCUUUGUAAAUGUCAAGCUGAAACUCAGCUCCGGGCCGUGGUUGGCAUGCGACUGAACCGUCUGGACAUGGAAUCACAGGAAAACUCCACGAAGAGCCUCUAAAAAGGCAAACAGCUAUGUAACUUACUUCUUAGCCCUUUGUUUGAUCGUAACUCCGGAUCUGAGCUAAACGGAACCAGAGUCCUUAAAAGG